UAUACAACUUCUGCAAGGUGCUAACCCAAACCGUCACAAGCUUUUAUUAUCAAUUUCAUGCCAAAGGCAACAGAACAGAUCUUCCAGUUGCAGAUAUUCCCUCUCCAAAGAUGAAGAAGGCCUCUUUUGACGAUCAGCGCCGCACCCAACUCUUUCUCAAAGAUCAAAUACCAACAUGGUUUGCUAUAACAGGUUAUGUCACCAUUGCUGCGAUAUCUACAGCCAUUCUUCCACACAUAUUUACCCAGCUCAAAUGG
rnacentral:misc_RNA from 1 species